rnacentral:misc_RNA from 1 species
GAGGAGCGAAUGUGGGUGACUUCAAUAUAUGGCCAAUGCCCAAAUCGGUCACUAAUGGGCACAGAAAACUGUACAUGGCUCUGGAUUUUCAGCUUAUCACUGAGGGUACCAACUACAGCGAUGCUUCUGGGAUUUUAAAGGAAGCCUUCACCACAAUGGUUGAUGUAGUCCAAAUGGACUAUGCUCUUGAUGCCAAUUUCUCCGCUCUCCAUCCAUCUGUCGUCCUCAAAGGACUUCAAGUCCUUAUUUCCUCUCCAAAUGAUCAGUUACAAUACGGUAUUGAUGAGUCCUACAAAUUAUUAGUUCCUUCACCUUACAAGCCAGAUUUUGCACAUCUUGAGGCACAAACAGUUUAUGGGGCUUUGCAUGGGCUUCAGACAUUCAGCCAAUUAUGCCAUUUUAACUCUGCAACCAGCAGGAUUGAAGUUCUUAUGGUCCCAUGGACUAUCAUUGAUCAACCAAGAUUCUCUUACCGGGGGCUCUUGAUUGAUACUUCACGACACUAUCAGCCAUUGCCAAUGAUUAAGAAAGUGAUUGAUUCUAUGGUCUAUGCAAAACUGAAUGUUUUGCAUUGGCACAUUGUGGAUACACAAUCUUUCCCUCUGGAGAUACCUUCGUAUCCAAAACUGUGGGAUGGUGCUUAUUCAUUUUCAGAGCGG